ACCCUCCAGUUCCUUUCCCCAUCGGAUCUGAACAUUGAUCUCAGUGGUUGCAAUAGGAGGAGAGUAACACUUCACUAUUACUUCAGCUGGCCUUGUUUGCGGUGUUGUAGUCUCGUAUAUAGCAUGAGGGUUCAUUUCAAACAGGU
rnacentral:snoRNA from 1 species